CCUCCCUCAUUCUUAUUUAGGGCCCCCACCCGCCGCUCAGGGGUGGGGGCCAAGGGGGGAGGACAAUAGGUGCCUCCCUCAUUCUUAUUUAGGGCCCCCACCCGCCGCUCAGGGGUGGGGGCUAAGGGGGGAGGACAAU